GAAAGAGAAGAAAGGAUCUACCAGGUGGCUGCAUCUUGAAAAACAGGCCUUGUCUUCCUGUCCCAUUUUGCAGCAGUCGUGUGUGUGGGAGAAAUACAGCUGUGGGACGCCUGAUGAACAGAGGUGCUUGAACAACUGGCCUUCAGCUCUGUCACCUUUUUUGGUGGUUGCAAAAAAAACCAAAACAAAA